rnacentral:rRNA from 1 species
CCUACGGGAGGCAGCAGUGGGGAAUUUUGGACAAUGGGCGCAAGCCUGAUCCAGCCAUGCCGCGUGCGGGAAGAAGGCCUUCGGGUUGUAAACCGCUUUUGUCAGGGAAGAAAUCCUUUGGGUUAAUACCUCGGAGGGAUGACGGUACCUGAAGAAUAAGCACCGGCUAACUACGUGCCAGCAGCCGCGGUAAUACGUAGGGUGCGAGCGUUAAUCGGAAUUACUGGGCGUAAAGCGUGCGCAGGCGGUUAUGCAAGACAGAUGUGAAAUCCCCGGGCUCAACCUGGGAACUGCAUUUGUGACUGCAUAGCUAGAGUACGGUAGAGGGGGAUGGAAUUCCGCGUGUAGCAGUGAAAUGCGUAGAUAUGCGGAGGAACACCGAUGGCGAAGGCAAUCCCCCUGGACCUGUACUGACGCUCAUGCACGAAAGCGUGGGGAGCAAACAGGAUUAGAUGCCCUGGUAGUCCACGCCCUAAACGAUGUCAACUGGUUGUUGGACGGCUUGCUGUUCAGUACGAAGCUAACGCGUGAAGUUGACCGCCUGGGAGUCGCGCAGUGACUAAGAAGUUGA